UACGAAGGGUGCAAACGUUUGCUCGGAAUUAUUGGGCGUAAAGCGCACGUAGGCGGCUUUGCAAGUCGGAUGUGAAAUCCCUCGGCUUAACCAAGGAAGUGCAUCCGAAACUGCAGAGCUUGAGUACUUAAGAGGAUCGCGGAAUUCCCGGUGUAGAGGUGAAAUUCGUAGAUAUCGGGAGGAACACCAGUGGCGAAGGCGGCGAUCUGGGAAGAUACUGACGCUGAGGUGCGAAAGCGUGGGGAGCAAACAGG
rnacentral:rRNA from 1 species